rnacentral:rRNA from 1 species
AACGAACGCUGGCGGCAGGCUUAACACAUGCAAGUCGAACGCCCCGCCAGGGGAGUGGCAGACGGGUGAGUAACGCGUGGGAACAUACCCUUUUCUACGGAAUAUCUCUGGGAAACUGGAAUUAAUACCGUAUACGCCCUACGGGGGAAAGAUUUAUCGGGGAAGGAUUGGCCCGCGUUGGAUUAGCUAGUUGGUGGGGUAAAGGCCUACCAAGGCGACGAUCCAUAGCUGGUCUGAGAGGAUGAUCAGCCACAUUGGGACUGGGACACGGCCCAAACUCCUCCGGGAGGCGGCAGUGGGGAAUAUUGGACAGUGGGCGCAAGCCUGAUGCAGCCAUGCCGCGUGAGUGAUGAAGGCCGUAGGGUUGUAAAGCUCUUUCACCGAUGAAGAUAAUGACGGUAGUCGGAGAAGAAGCCCCGGCUAACUUCGUG